CCUACGGGCGGCAGCAGUGGGGAAUAUUGCACAAUGGGGGAAACCCUGAUGCAGCGACGCCGCGUGAGUGAAGAAGUACUUCGUUACGUAAAGCUCUAUCAGCAGGGAAGAAAAUGACUGUAUCUGAGUAAGAAGCCCCGGCUAACUACGUGCCAGCAGCCACGGUAAUACGUAGGGGGCACGCGUUAUCCGGAAUUACUGGGGGAAAAGGGAGCGUAGACGGUUCGCCAAGUCUGGAGUGAAAUGCCGGAGCUUAACUGCGGAACUGCUUUGGAAACUGGCGAACUAGAGUGCGGGAGGGGUAAGCGGAAUUCCUGGUGUAGCGGUGAAAUGCGUAGAUAUUAGGAGGAACACCGGUGGCGAAGGCGGCUUACUGGACCGUAACUGACGUUGAGGCUCGAAAGCGUGGGGAGCAAACAGGAUUAGAUACCCUUGUAGUC
rnacentral:rRNA from 1 species